AAGUCGUAACAAGGUUUCCGUAGGUGAACCUGCGGAAGGAUCAUUAAUGAUUGAACGUCUGUCGAGCUUGCUCACAGGCACAUCAUAUCCAUAACACCUGUGCACUUGUCGGAUGGCUUAGUGAAGACCGCAAGGUUGGAUCUAUCCAUCUACUUUACAUAACAAUUCUGUAACAAGUGUAGUCUUAUUAUAACAUAAUAAAA
rnacentral:misc_RNA from 1 species